rnacentral:lncRNA from 1 species
AUUAGGAUAAGUCCAAAAAUAGUAAGGACAAGUCCAAUUUUAGGAUAAGAGUCUAGGAAGAGAAUUAAGGAAGACAAGGAGAGAAGAAAGGUAGGGAUAGGAAGGCUAGGAAGAGAAGAAAAGGGUCUUAAGGUUCUGGUGCUCAAGAAAAUUCUCAGAGUAAAAAUUUUGGAGGAAAAAUUAUCUCAAAGAGUUGGUGUCCUGAUC